AUAAUCUCGACAUACUGUGCCAACAUAAUCUUAUACCUGUAUCCCGUAGACGGGAUCCUCAUGCAGGCUGACGUAGGCUGCAGGGCUGUCCUGGAUGUUGGCUGAAGACGGGACGACCUCCCCCAGCAGAUCCCUCACCAGGAAAUGGCACACGGGAUCAGGCCGAGCUUUUGGAUGCUUUCAUCGUUCCCCACCAUGCUGGACCAAGAGCCUGUGGUGGACGACACGAUGCACAGAACACAUCCAUUGCUGCCGCUGACCACACAGCGGAUGACGUCAGUCAAAACACCAGCACACACUUCGGCCUGGUCGGGAGAACAAAGCAGAGCGAGCAUCUUAUGACUGACACUGGC